rnacentral:rRNA from 1 species
UAGUCCACGCCGUAAACGAUGAGUGCUAGCUGUAGGGAUCUUUAGGUCUCUGUGGCGCAGUUAACGCAUUAAGCACUCCGCCUGGGGAGUACGGUCGCAAGAUUAAAACUCAAAGGAAUUGACGGGGACCCGCACAAGCGGUGGAGCAUGUGGUUUAAUUCGAGGCAACGCGAAGAACCUUACCAGCCCUUGCAUCCCGAUCGCGAUUAGGAGAGAUCCUUUUCUCCAGCUUGGCUGGAUCGGUGACAGGUGGUGCACGGCUGUCGUCAGCUCGUGUCGUGAGAUGUUGGGUUAAGUCCCGCAACGAGCGCAACCCUCAUCCUUAGUUGCCAGCACAUUAUGGUGGGAACUCUAAGGAAACCGCCGGUGUUAAACCGGAGGAAGGUGAGGACGACGUCAAGUCAUCAUGGCCCUUACGUCCUGGGCUACACACGUGCUACAAUGGCUGGUACAAUGGGUCGCCAAACCGCGAGGUGGAGCUAAUCCCCAAAGCCAGUCUCAGUUCGGA